ACUGUGAAUCAUCCUGUUCUGUCCUUAAGUGGUGGACACACUGCCCGCAUCAGGCUCGCGUGAGUCUCGCGUGGCGUGUUGUUUUUUAUUUCGGCGUCCAUGUUAACAGGUUAGAGUGGACACACUGCCCGCAUGAGA